rnacentral:rRNA from 1 species
GACGAACGCUGUCGGCGUGCUUAACACAUGCAAGUCGAACGGAAAGGCCCUGCUUUUGUGGGGUGCUCGAGUGGCGAGCGGGUGAGUAACACGUGAGUAACCUGCCCUUGACUUUGGGAUAACUUCAGGAAACUGGGGCUAAUACCGGAUAGGAGCUCCUGCUGCAUGGUGGGGGUUGGAAAGUUUCGGCGGUUGGGGAUGGACUCGCGGCUUAUCAGCUUGUUGGUGGGGUAGUGGCUUACCAAGGCUUUGACGGGUAGCCGGCCUGAGAGGGUGACCGGCCACAUUGGGACUGAGAUACGGCCCAGACUCCUACGGGAGGCAGCAGUGGGGAAUAUUGCACAAUGGGCGGAAGCCUGAUGCAGCAACGCCGCGUGCGGGAUGACGGCCUUCGGGUUGUAAACCGCUUUCGCCUGUGACGAAGCGUGAGUGACGGUAAUGGGUAAAGAAGCACCGGCUAACUACGUGCCAGCAGCCGCGGUGAUACGUAGGGUGCGAGCGUUGUCCGGAUUUAUUGGGCGUAAAGGGCUCGUAGGUGGUUGAUCGCGUCGGAAGUGUAAUCUUGGGGCUUAACCCUGAGCGUGCUUUCGAUACGGGUUGACUUGAGGAAGGUAGGGGAGAAUGGAAUUCCUGGUGGAGCGGUGGAAUGCGCAGAUAUCAGGAGGAACACCAGUGGCGAAGGCGGUUCUCUGGGCCUUUCCUGACGCUGAGGAGCGAAAGCGUGGGGAGCGAACAGGCUUAGAUACCCUGGUAGUCCACGCCGUAAACGGUGGGUACUAGGUGUGGGGUCCAUUCCACGGGUUCCGUGCCGUAGCUAACGCUUUAAGUACCCCGCCUGGGGAGUACGGCCGCAAGGCUAAAACUCAAAGGAAUUGACGGGGCCCCGCACAAGCGGCGGAGCAUGCGGAUUAAUUCGAUGCAACGCGUAGAACCUUACCUGGGUUUGACAUGGAUCGGGAGUGCUCAGAGAUGGGUGUGCCUCUUUUGGGGUCGGUUCACAGGUGGUGCAUGGCUGUCGUCAGCUCGUGUCGUGAGAUGUUGGGUUAAGUCCCGCAACGAGCGCAACCCUUGUUCACUGUUGCCAGCACGUUAUGGUGGGGACUCAGUGGAGACCGCCGGGGUCAACUCGGAGGAAGGUGGGGAUGACGUCAAGUCAUCAUGCCCCUUAUGUCCAGGGCUUCACGCAUGCUACAAUGGCUGGUACAGAGAGUGGCGAGCCUGUGAGGGUGAGCGAAUCUCGGAAAGCCGGUCUCAGUUCGGAUUGGGGUCUGCAACUCGACCUCAUGAAGUCGGAGUCGCUAGUAAUCGCAGAUCAGCAACGCUGCGGUGAAUACGUUCCCGGG